rnacentral:pre_miRNA from 1 species
AGCUGUUUGAAUCUAUGCCGAGAUUCGGUCAAACAAUAUACCAUCAGGACUGACAAAACUCCAAAGAUAAACAAAGCC